UACGGGGGGGGCAAGUGUUCUUCGGAAUGACUGGGCGUAAAGGGUGCGUAGGUGGCGCCGUAAGUCGGGUGUGAAAUUUCGGAGCUUAACUCCGAAACUGCAUUCGAUACUGCGGUGCUUGAGGACUGGAGAGGAGACUGGAAUUCAUGGUGUAGCAGUGAAAUGCGUAGAGAUCAUGAGGAAGACCAGUGGCGAAGGCGGGUCUCUGGACAGUUCCUGACACUGAGGCACGAAGGCCAGGGGAGCAAACGGG
rnacentral:rRNA from 1 species